rnacentral:rRNA from 1 species
UACGUAGGGGGCGAGCGUUGUCCGGAUUUAUUGGGCGUAAAGAGCUCGUAGGCGGUUUGGCAAGUCGGGUGUGAAAACUCCGGCUCAACUCGGAGACGCCACUCGAUACUGCCAUGACUCGAGUCCGGUAGGGGAGUGGCGGAAUUCCUGGUGUAGCGGUGAAAUGCGUAGAUAUCAGGAGGAACACCUGUGGCGAAAGCGGCGCACUGGACCACAACUGACGCUGAGGCGCGAAAGCUAGGGGAGCAAACAGGAUAGAAACCCU